rfam:Rattus norvegicus chromosome X, whole genome shotgun sequence.
UGCAUUGGUCUACAUAGAUUGGUACCUAUCAUGUAAAAUAAGUGUGAAAGAUGCCACGCUAUGUAGAUCAACGCU